rnacentral:rRNA from 1 species
GGAUUAGUGGCGGACGGGUGAGUAACGCGUGAGUAACCUGCCUUGCACAAGGGGAUAGCCGUUGGAAACGACGAAUAAUACCCUAUGAUAUAAACUCUUCGCAUGAAGAGCUUAUCAAAGAUUUAUCGGUGUAAGAUGGACUCGCGUCUGAUUAGCUAGUUGGUGGGGUAACAGCCUACCAAGGCAACGAUCAGUAGCCGGCUUGAGAGAGUGUACGGCCACAUUGGGACUGAGACACGGCCCAGACUCC